UCUUCUAUGGCUCAGUCGAUAAAGCAUGAGACUUAAUCUCAGGGUUGUGGGUUUGGACCCCACUUUGGGCGAA